rnacentral:rRNA from 1 species
GAAUUUUUGGCAAUGGGCGAAAGCCUGACCAAGCAACGCCGCGUGGGUGAUGAAGUCCCUUGGGACGUAAAACCCUUUCGACGGGGACGAAGCCGCAAGGUUGACGGUACCCGUAGAAGAAGCCCCGGCUAACUCCGUGCCAGCAGCCGCGGUAAUACGGGGGGGGCAAGCGUUGUUCGGAAUUACUGGGCGUAAAGGGCGCGUAGGCGGCUUGUUAAGUCGGAUGUGAAAACUCUGGGCUCAACCCAGAGCCUGCAUCCGAAACGGGCGGGCUUGAGUUCUGGAGGGGAAAGCGGAAUUCCUGGUGUAGCGGUGAAAUGCGUAGAUAUCAGGAGGAACACCGGUGGCGAAGGCGGCUUUCUGGACAGAAACUGACGCUGAGGCGCGAAAGCUAGGGGAGCAAACAGG